rnacentral:rRNA from 1 species
AGAGUUUGAUCCUGGCUCAGGAUGAACGCUAGCGGCAGGCUUAACACAUGCAAGUCGAGGGGCAGCGGGGAGAGUGCUUGCACUUUCCGCCGGCGACCGGCGCACGGGUGAGUAACACGUAUGCAACCUGCCCCUGUCAGGGGGACAACCUUCCGAAAGGGAGGCUAAUCCCGCGUAUAUCCUUCUGGGGCAUCCCGGGAGGAGGAAAGGCUUCGGCCGGACAGGGAUGGGCAUGCGGCGCAUUAGGCAGACGGCGGUGUAACGGACCACCGUACCGACGAUGCGUAGGGGUUCUGAGAGGAAGGUCCCCCACACUGGUACUGAGACACGGACCAGACUCCUACGGGAGGCAGCAGUGAGGAAUAUUGGUCAAUGGUCGGGAGACUGAACCAGCCAAGCCGCGUGAGGGAAGAAGGCGCUAAGCGUCGUAAACCUCUUUUGUCGGGGAACAAACGGAGGCACGUGUGCCUUUCUGAGUGUACCCGAAGAAAAAGCAUCGGCUAACUCCGUGCCAGCAGCCGCGGUAAUACGGAGGAUGCGAGCGUUAUCCGGAUUUAUUGGGUUUAAAGGGUGCGCAGGCGGGCUGUUAAGUCAGCGGUAAAAGCCCGGGGCUCAACCCCGGCGAGCCGUUGAAACUGGCGGUCUUGAGUUGGAGAGAAGUAUGCGGAAUGCGCAGUGUAGCGGUGAAAUGCUUAGAUAUUGCGCAGAACUCCGAUUGCGAGGGCAGCAUACCGGCUCCAUACUGACGCUCAGGCACGAAAGUGGGGGGGAUCGAAAAGGAUUAAAUACCCCUGGUAAGUCCCCCCAAUAAAACAAUGAAAUGGCGGGGGGGGUCCGGGAGGGGUUACCUUCUGGGG